rnacentral:rRNA from 1 species
CCUACGGGAGGCUGCAGUAGGGAAUCUUCCACAAUGGGCGAAAGCCUGAUGGAGCAACGCCGCGUGGGUGAAGAAGGUCUUCGGAUCGUAAAACCCUGUUGUUAGAGAAGAAAGUGCGUGAGAGUAACUGUUCACGUUUCGACGGUAUCUAACCAGAAAGCCACGGCUAACUACGUGCCAGCAGCCGCGGUAAUACGUAGGUGGCAAGCGUUAUCCGGAUUUAUUGGGCGUAAAGGGAACGCAGGCGGUCUUUUAAGUCUGAUGUGAAAGCCUUCGGCUUAACCGGAGUAGUGCAUUGGAAACUGGGAGACGUGAGUGCAGAAGAGGAGAGUGGAACUCCAUGUGUAGCGGUGAAAUGCGGAGAUAUAUGGAAGAACACCAGUGGCGAAAGCGGCUCUCUGGUCUGUAACUGACGCUGAGGUUCGAAAGCGUGGGUAGCAAACAGGAUUAGAUACCCUUGUAGUC